UACUAGCCCAGAUUGCAACGGCAUCCUUUUUUGUUGCGGCCGGCGCGAAGCGUCGGCCGCAACAAAAAAGAUAUAGUGGAAAGCUGGAAAAAGC
rnacentral:sRNA from 1 species